rnacentral:rRNA from 1 species
UGAGUACGAGAUGCUACGGCAUCGAAGCAGUCUAUGUCAUACUUCCAAGAAAAGCUUGCACUGUCAGAAACAGAUAAUGCCUGUACCAUAACCGACACAGGUGGGUAGGUAGAGUAUACUAAGGGGCGCGAGAUAACUCUCUCUAAGGAACUCGGCAAAAUGACUCCGUAACUUCGGGAGAAGGAGUGCCUUAUUUUUAAGGUUGCAAUAACAAGAUCCAAGCAACUGUUUACCAAAAACACAGGUCUCCGCUAAGUCGUAAGACGAUGUAUGGGGGCUGACGCCUGCCCAGUGCCAGAAGGUUAAAGAAGUCGGUUAGCAUUCGCGAAGCUGGUAACUGAAGCCCUGGUGAACGGCGGCCGUAACGAUAACGGUCCUAAGGUAGCGAAAUUCCUUGUCGGGUAAGUUCCGACCCGCACGAAAGGCGUAAUGAUUUGGAUACUGUCUCGGAGAGGGGCUCGGUGAAAUAGACUUGUCUGUGAAGAUGCGGACUACCUGCACCUGGACAGAAAGACCCUAUGAAGCUUUACUGUAACUUGAAAUUGAAAUUGGACUUUAUUUGCGCAGUAUAGGUGGGAGGCGUUGAAAAUAUUCUUGCGGGAAUAUUGGAGCCAUCAGUGAGAUACCACUCUUGUAAUGUUAGAUUUCUAACUUUAUAUCAUUAUCUGGUUAAAGAACAGUUUCAGGCGGGCAGUUUGACUGGGGCGGUCGCCUCCCAAAUGGUAACGGAGGCGCACAAAGGUUUCCUCUGAACGGGUAGAAAUCGUAUCUAGAGUGUAAAGGCAUAAGGAAGCUUGACUGUGAGACCUACAAGUCGAGCAGGGACGAAAGUCGGUCUUAGUGAUCUGACGGUGCUGAGUGGAAAGGCCGUCACUCAACGGAUAAAAGUUACUCUAGGAUAACAGGCUGAUCUCCCCCAAGAGUUCACAUCGACGGGGAGGUUUGGCACCUCGAUGUCGGCUCAUCGCAUCCUGGGGCGGUAGUACGUCCCAAGGGUUGGGCUGUUCGCCCAUGAAAGCGGUACGCGAGCUGGGUUCAGAACGUCGUGAGACAGUUCGGUCCAUAUCCGGUGUAGGCGUUAGAAUAUUGAGAGGAGCCUUCUUUAGUACGAGAGGACCGAGAAGGACAUACCUCUGGUGUACCAGUUAUCGUGCCAACGGUAAACGCUGGGUAGCUAUGUAUGGAGUGGAUAACCGCUGAAAGCAUCUAAGUGGGAAGCCC